rnacentral:ncRNA from 1 species
CUGCGGCGCCGGAGUAACUCCGGCGCCGCAGUAAACCAGAACCGCCAGCUCACAAAGCCACGGUUCUUACUUGAAAAGAAAUUGACGACCAGCAGGGGCAUCCGGGCUGGUGCCCGGACUAUCUGCGGGAUCCGUAGUGGCUUACCCGUCGCUGCUUCAGGACUGCAAGUCACAACUACGGCCUCCACGCCGGUGGUGUCCCCUUACCGAGGGUGACCA